ensembl:rRNA Gm24217 predicted gene, 24217
GUCUAUCCCCUUAACACCCUGAACACACUUGAUCUCACCUGAUCUUGCUAGCCCAGCAGGUUUGGCCUGGUACUUGGAUAGGAUAAAGCUGGAUGAGCAUGAGCCAUGAGAACAAGCCAAGAAGGAGAAGUCA